CUGCUUGUAACAAUACCUGUUCCUCAUCCCUUUAAGAACAGGAUUACAUCUGUAACAUGUGAUAUUUAAAAAGAAAGUGUUAGGGUUGCCAACCUUAGAACAAAGGUUAUCUAGAAGUAUAUGUCUCCUUAAAAA